rnacentral:tRNA from 1 species
GGUGGGUUGGCUCAGUGGUUAGAGCGUAGGUCUCGUAAGCGAAAGGUUGCGGGAUCGAAUCCCGCUAGAGGCUG